rnacentral:rRNA from 1 species
GACGAACGCUGGCGGCGUGCCUAAUACAUGCAAGUCGAACGGUUUAGUUCCAAGAGGCUUGCCUUUUGGAACUAGACAGUGGCGGACGGGUGAGUAACACGUAGGCAACCUACCUGUCAAACCGGGAUAACCCCGGAAAACCCAACCUAAACCCGGAUAAGCUCCUUUUUCGCAUGAAGGGGAGUGGAAAAGUUGCGCCCGGAUUCCAAAUGGCCCUGCGGCGCAUUAGCUAGUAGGUAGGGUAACGGCCUACCUAGGCGAUGAUGCGUAGCCGACCUGAGAGGGCGUACGGCCACACUGGGACUGAGAUACGGCCCAGACUCCUACGGGAGGCAGCAGUAGGGAAUCUUCGGCAAUGGGCGAAAGCCUGACCGAGCAACGCCGCGUGAGUGAGGAAGGCCUUCGGGUUGUAAAACUCUGUUGUUUGGGAAGAAGGGAAAGGGUAGGACCCUUAGGUGACGGUACCAAACGAGAAAGCCCCGGCUAACUACGUG